AAGCGGCUCUGGAGGUGCGGCUGCAGGCUGUGGAGCGCGACCGGCAGGACCUCGCUGAACAACUCCAGGGGCUCAGCUCAGCCAAGGAGCUACUAGAGAGCAGUCUGUUUGAAGCCCAACAACAAAUUCUGUGAUAGAGGUCACCAAGGGGCAGCUGGAGGUCCAGAUUCAAACUGUCACUCAAGCCAAGGAAGUAAUCCAAGGGGAAGUGAGGUGCCUGAAGCUGGAACUGGACA